rnacentral:lncRNA from 1 species
GAGUAAUUUAUCCAAUGUCAUACAGCUGUCAUGAGCCACAGGCAAUAUUUGAAUCCUGCCCUCCCUAAUUCUGAGGUUUGCUGUCUAUCCACUAUCACAAUUGCCUUUCAUUUGUAUAUAAAUAAAUGAUUUUGUCACAAAGGUUUACAUCUUAAAAUACUGGAAAUUCUUUUUGCCAGCAGUUUACAUUUUUCAUACAGACCUAACAAAUUUUUCAUUUUAUCUCCUUUAUGGUAGGUUUGUGGUGUAUGUGUGUGCCCAUAUGCAAGUACCCAUUUUUUCUUUAAAGAGUGAAAGCAAGCAAGGAUUCAGCAGCCUGAAUGGGAGAAACAAGAAUAAAAUUAACUCUUAAAAAUUAUUUGCCCAUUUAAUUACAGUUUUACAUAGUGUAAAGUGCCAAAAAAUAUAGGAUUUUCCAAAAGGGUUAGGCACUUUUAAUCUUCAAAAGCUUAAAAAUGCACUAAAGACUUUUGGGAUAUCCUGUAUAUUCCUGGAACACUAUAUAUUUUUACUAUUAGAACACUGAUUUUUAGGGAGUUAAGAGAAUAAGGAGAAACAUUGCUCCCCUGCUUUGUGCUUUGAAAGGAGUUUAGUUGAUCACUCAUAGCAUUCCAGUUGAAAGCCUUUCUUCUUCUCAUCUCGGGGCUUACUUUCCUUUGUAAAUGCCUGAAAUUGUUGGCUUGAAAUGGCCCCUAGUUUCCUUGACUCAUUAUUUACUAAGUAUUGGGUAUUCUCGGGGUACCUGACCCAAUCGUUGGUACAUAGGAUGGCUAUAGAACACUACCUUCUACCUGUAUUUGUCCUUGAGGAGUUUACCUAUUAAAUUCAAAUUGGUCUUGGAUCUGUCCACCAUUCCUUCCUUCAUCCUGGGAGCACCCUCAAGACCCUUUAUUCUGUAUUCCUAUUUGUAUUCCAAGACCUUUGGGAGAGUCUGCAAGCUGGCUGGAGAGAACAAGAGGGCAUAGCUCUUUACAAUCCAAUUCUGUCAAACUACACGUGGCCUUAUUUUAAUUUCUAACUAUGUGCUGUGUCUACCACAGCUAAGUCUUCUGGUACGUAUGCCAGCAGCUGAAGCAUUACAAUCUUUAGAAUUUUCAGAGAGGGAAUUAGAUGAACCCUGAACGUAAUCACACAAGUCAAGGCAAAUUAGGGUCCUUUUUUUUCCCUAGAGAGAGAGAUAGAGACAGAGAGAAAAGUUUGGUAUGACUAUUGGGAAAUUUAGCCCUGCAGGGCUUGCAAAAUGCCAUUUUUUUUCCCCUUUAUUAUCAACACAGCCCUCAUUCCAUUUUGGCUAUAGACUAAUUUUGCCUUCUAUUUCUAAUGCUUAAAGUAUUUUAUAACUAUAUAGUAUAAACUCAUCUUCAUUUUUAAACCUCAUCUCAGCCUUGCAGAGAACUCAAAACUUAACAAACCAUGCAAUUGUUUUUUAACAUCACUGUUUCUACCAUGGCUAUUCAAAGUUAGUACAAUCAGUAGAAUUCAUGUUCAUCACUGGGCUUAUAAAAGCCAGCCAACACCAACUAGGCAAAUGAUUAUCUGCAAGGCUUAAGCCAGAUAAAUGAGAGAAGACUGACCACUCUCUCUUUGUUUCCUCUGUCAAAUAUCAAGAAAGCACAGUCUAUUUUUUACGUGUACCUACAUGGAUAUUUUAUUAUGGAAAGGUGAGAUAAUGAGGAUGGUGAAGAUAUUCCAAGUAUUCCUUUUUGUUCAUCUCCCUCAUCACCUUCCAUCUUGUAUCAUACCUUUUUGUGUAAGUCUCACUGUGUUCCUUUCCAUUAGGUAAAUUCCUUAAAUUCAGAGACUUUUGUUGUAUAUGUCUGCAGCACUUAGCACAGUGCCUUUUAUGUUGGAGAAAACAAAUGUUUGUUAAUUUGGAUCAGAAUCAUAAGCAAAUGAGACUUGCUUAGGAAAAAAUGAUUGAAAUUACAUAUUGAUUUGAUGAUCGUAUUAGAAACAAGGAAGCUUAUAUAACUCAGAAUCAGGUCUUGACACUAGACUUUUUUUCCUUCUCUAAUUAAAGAAUAGGAAGUUAUUAUUAACAUAAAAGGGAAAAUGGUUUGCUUAUAUUUGCAUUUAUAUCUUUUGUUAUUAAAUGACAAAAGCACUUUGUGGCACUAGAACAUACCAACAUGAUGUAUGGACCAAAACACUUGUU